CUUAAUCGUGGAAAGCCCAAUGAGUCUCAUUUGCAAUAUGGUCCGUAAAAUCCCACCAGGAACUUAGUCCAAUUGCCCAGUUCUGAGAAACAUCAAGCAGCGGCAGUCGGAACCUGGAAGAGCAAGAAAGAGGAGGAAAAGAAGAAGAUGAUGGUAUUGAUAUGGUCCUCCUCUGCGAUGAUGCUUCGACGCUUUUGCUGCUUCAGCACUAGUGCUUCUUCUUCUUUUGCAUCUGCUCCUUUGUCUUCCCUUAACAAGAAAAGGCGUCUGGUCUUCUUGGGCUCCCCUCAGGUAUCUGCUUCGGUUCUUGAUGCUUUAUUCUCUGCUUCUUCUGCUCCUGAUUCCCUAUUUGAGGUUGCUGCAAUUGUUACUCAGCCACCCUCUGGGAGAGAUAGAGGAAGAAAGAUCACGCCUUCUCCUGUAGCACAGCGUGCUCUUGACAAAGGCUUCCCCUCUGAUUUGAUAUUCACACCUGUAAAAGCUGGUGAGGAAUCAUUUCUUGAGAAUUUCAAGUCUCUGGAGCCUGAACUUUGUGUUACUGCUGCAUAUGGGAAUAUUUUACCAAGCAAGGUUCUGAAGAUUCCAUCACUGGGGACCGUAAACAUUCACCCAAGCUUGCUGCCUCUCUACCGUGGUGCAGCCCCUGUUCAGCGAGCAUUGGAGGAUGGCGUAAAGGAAACAGGAGUGUCACUAGCAUUUACUGUACGUCAACUGGAUGCUGGACCUGUUAUUUCUUGUCAAAGAAUAGAUGUAGAUGAUCAAAUAAAGGCACCAGAGCUACUUGAGUUAUUAUUUGCACAAGGAUCUGAACUUCUGCUCCGUGAGCUUCCCUCUAUUUUUGAUGGAUCAGCUAAAAGAAAAGCAGAAGAGCAGGAUGAAUCUAAAGCAACUCUGGCUCCAAAGAUAACACCCAAGGAGUCAUGGCUAUCCUUUGAUCAAGAAGCUAUAACCCUUCAUAACAAGGUUCGUGCAUUUGCAGGUUGGCCUGGUACCAGAGCUAAAGUCAUGAUUGUGGAUCCCCAAAACGGUCAGUCUAAUACUACCGAGCUUAAGAUUAUCACAACAAGAGUUUAUAAUGGUGCCAAAGCUCAGAGUGGGGAUGCUGAUGAUGUGGUUUUCAACAAAGGUUCACUGAUAUUCCCAUGUGGCAGACAGACGGCACUGGAGGUGCUAGAAGUGCAACUUCCAGGUACAAAGGUGGUAAAUGCGUCAGCAUUUUGGAAUGGAUUGAGAGGUCAGAAAUUGAAGCGGAUAUGACUACAGUUGCUGAGCAGCAGUCCAUGUAAGUUGUGAAGUAGACAAGGAAACACAUUGAGUUCUAUCAUCCUUCCUCUCAAAAAUGAAAAUAUGGUACAGCCCCUUCUAAAAAAGAUUACCGUAUUGUGAUAUGAAGGACUGGACCUGCUGCACCAAUGGAGGGAAAGAUUGAAGAAGAGUUCGUUUUCUUCCCAUUUCUUAACAUUCACCUUUCAGAUUGGUUGUUCUUCUGGGCUACGAAAAAUGGAUCUAAAAGUCCCCGAGUAGGGCUCUACUUGUAGUUUAUCCUUGAGAUAAAAUCAUAAAAUGGAAUUUCUUCGAGGACUGACUCUCAUCUCAUGGGGUACUCAGAAGAACCCCUUUAGGCUCCUCUUUGUCCUAAAAGGGGAGUAAGAAUAAUGUCAUUUGAAUUUUGUUGUUUAUGUCGCAUUCUGCUUCCUCUCUCGUUCUGUCUGGUCCCUCGAAUCCUUUAAUUUUGCAUGUAAACAAGGUGAGAAGAGGAGGAAACAAGCACUUCUUCCGAAUUGAUGAGUUGUGCUGUGCCUUCCCCAGCAGUGCCUAUUGCGGGGUUGGCCCUGUACAACCUACAAAAGGGUGUUGUUUUGGUUUGGGGUGCAAGCACACCAUAAAAAACUAUUGAUCUUGAUG